rnacentral:rRNA from 1 species
GUAGGGAAUCUUGCGCAAUGGGCGAAAGCCUGACGCAGCCAUGCCGCGUGAAUGAUGAAGGUCUUAGGAUUGUAAAAUUCUUUCACCGGGGACGAUAAUGACGGUACCCGGAGAAGAAGCCCCGGCUAACUUCGUGCCAGCAGCCGCGGUAAUACGAAGGGGGCUAGCGUUGCUCGGAAUUACUGGGCGUAAAGGGCGCGUAGGCGGACAGUUUAGUCAGAGGUGAAAGCCCAGGGCUCAACCUUGGAAUUGCCUUUGAUACUGGCUGUCUUGAGUACGGGAGGGGUGAGUGGAACUCCGAGUGUAGAGGUGAAAUUCGUAGAUAUUCGGAAGAACACCAGUGGCGAAGGCGACUCACUGGCCCGUUACUGACGCUGAGGCGCGAAAGCGUGGGGAGCAAACAGGAUUAGAAACCCGGGUAGUCC